UCUAUCGUCAUUGAUGCAUAAAUAAAGAUACCAAUUAGUAGUGAUUGAAUUCCUUCUAUGGUUCCACAUGAGAAACCAGUACGAAUAUAACCUACAUGUCCAAUUGAACUAUGAGCUAGAAGUCUUUUGACUUUCGUUUGGGCCAUGGCGGCCAGCGCUCCUAAGAUCAUAGAAGCAAUGCUGCAGAAAAAGAAGAUUUGUUGCAAUGUAGCUCCAUAAGAACCAUAAAUAGAAAGACGUGAAAUAUUAGCAGAAAUAGAGAUUUUAGGCGCAAUAGAAAGGAAUGCUCCGCCCGAAAAGGAACUGCAGUGAUCUUGAAUAGGGAUCCUACAGCGAUAGAUAGAAUCCCCAUAAAAAUACCACUAGAUCGAGCACCGGUGAUUUCGUAUCCGGUCAAAAUCUUG
rnacentral:lncRNA from 1 species